rnacentral:rRNA from 1 species
CCUACGGGAGGCAGCAGUGGGGAAUUUUGGACAAUGGGCGCAAGCCUGAUCCAGCCAUGCCGCGUGUGGGAAGAAGGCCUUCGGGUUGUAAACCACUUUUGUCAGGGAAGAAACGGCUCUUACUAAUAUUAGGGGCUAAUGACGGUACCUGAAGAAUAAGCACCGGCUAACUACGUGCCAGCAGCCGCGGUAAUACGUAGGGUGCAAGCGUUAAUCGGAAUUACUGGGCGUAAAGCGUGCGCAGGCGGCUUUGCAAGACAGAUGUGAAAUCCCCGGGCUCAACCUGGGAACUGCAUUUGUGACUGCAUGGCUAGAGUACGGUAGAGGGGGAUGGAAUUCCGCGUGUAGCAGUGAAAUGCGUAGAUAUGCGGAGGAACACCGAUGGCGAAGGCAAUCCCCUGGACCUGUACUGACGCUCAUGCACGAAAGCGUGGGGAGCAAACAGGAUUAGAUACCCUGGUAGUCCACGCCCUAAACGAUGUCAACUGGUUGUUGGACGGCUUGCUGUUCAGUAACGAGCUAACGCGUGAAGUUGACCGCCUGGGGAAGUCGGCGCAGUUGAAACUUNAAGGAUUGACGGNNGNGNGNGCGAGNGACGAGAGGAGAG